rnacentral:lncRNA from 1 species
AUGAGCCUAUUUCACAAAGGAAUCCUUAUCACUUCUAGGCUAAAAAGCAAUAAGGGUGUUCUGGAAAUUACUCUGAGGGAAUCCUAAAAACUACAGGUAUUUCCUCUGCAGUCCAGUUGUUUAGCUCCCUUUCCGACUCGUAAGGACGAAUAUCUGGCGAAGUUCUUCCUAGCGUCGCUUCUUCAUACACGGCAUGAAUACUCCCUAGCUCCGUGUUAAUACUUCUGACCCCUAGCAUUCCUUGAUAGACAAAUCCCCC